UGAGGAAUAUUGGUCAAUGGGUGCAAGCCUGAACCAGCCAUCCCGCGUGAAGGACGACUGCCCUAUGGGUUGUAAACUUCUUUUGUAUAGGGAUAAACCUACCCUCGUGAGGGUAGCUGAAGGUACUAUACGAAUAAGCACCGGCUAACUCCGUGCCAGCAGCCGCGGUAAUACGGAGGGUGCAAGCGUUAUCCGGAUUUAUUGGGUUUAAAGGGUCCGUAGGCGGACUUAUAAGUCAGUGGUGAAAGCCUGUCGCUUAACGAUAGAACUGCCAUUGAUACUGUAAGUCUUGAGUAUAUUUGAGGUAGCUGGAAUAAGUAGUGUAGCGGUGAAAUGCAUAGAUAUUACUUAGAACACCAAUUGCGAAGGCAGGUUACCAAGAUAUAACUGACGCUGAGGGACGAAGGCGUGGGGAGCGAACAGGAUUAGAUACCCUGGUAGUCCACGCCGUAAACGAUGCUAACUCGUUUUUGGGCUUUAGGGUUCAGAGACCAAGCGAAAGUGAUAAGUUAGCCACCUGGGGAGUACGCUCGCAAGAGUGAAACUUAAAGGAAUUGAC
rnacentral:rRNA from 1 species